rnacentral:rRNA from 1 species
CAUACGGGUUGAAGCAUGACCGUAAGGACAUGUGGACAGUAUGGGAGUGAGAAUGUUGGCAUGAGUAGCGAGAUGUGGGUGAGAAUCCCACAGGCCGUAAACCCAAGGUUUCCAGGGGAAGGUUCGUCCGCCCUGGGUUAGUCGGGACCUAAGCUGAGGCCGAAAGGCGUAGGUGAUGGACAACAGGUUGAUAUUCCUGUACUACCGAUAACCGUUUGAGAGAAGGGAUGACACAGUAGGAUAAGCUAAGCACACUGUUGGUUAUGUGUGCCCAAGCAUUGAGGCAGUCAAAGCAGGCAAAUCCGCUUUGAUAAUGCUGGGAUGUGAUGGGGAGCGAAAUUUAGUAGCGAAGUAGCUGAUUUCACACUGUCAAGAAAAGUCUCUAUCGAGGUUAAAGGUACCCGUACCGCAAACCGACACAGGUGGGUGAGGAGAGUAUCCUAAGGCCAGCGAGAGAACUGUUGUUAAGGAACUCGGCAAAAUGACCCCGUAACUUAGGGAUAAGGGGUGCCACCAUCCGGUGGCCGCAGAGAAUAGGCCCAAGCGACUGUUUACCAAAAACAUAGGUUUCUGCUAAGUCGCAAGACGAUGUAUAGGAGCUGACGCCUGCCCGGUGCUGGAAGGUUAAGGGGAUCUGUUAGAGCAAUCGAAGCAGUGAACUUAAGCCCCAGUAAACGGCGGCCGUAACUAUAACGGUCCUAAGGUAGCGAAAUUCCUUGUCGGGUAAGUUCCGACCCGCACGAAAGGCGUAACGAUUUGGGCACUGUCUCAACAACAGACUCGGUGAAAUUGUAAUUCCGGUGAAGAUGCCGGAUACCUGCGACAGGACGGAAAGACCCCAUGGAGCUUUACUGUAGCUUGACAUUGGGUCUUGGUACUACAUGUACAGGAUAGGUGGGAGGCUUUGAAACCAGGACGCCAGUUUUGGCGGAGCCAUCCUUGGGAUACCACCCUUGUAGUACUGGGACUCUAACCAUAGGCCAUGAAUCUGGUCUUGGGACACUGUCAGGUGGGCAGUUUGACUGGGGCGGUCGCCUCCCAAAAGGUAACGGAGGCGCUCAAAGGUUCUCUCAGUACGGUCGGAAAUCGUACGUAGAGUGUAAAGGCAAAAGAGAGCUUGAUUGCAAGACAUACAGGUCGAGCAAGGAUGAAAAUCGGACUUAGUGAUCCGGUGGUUCUGCGUGGAAGGGCCAUCGCUCAACGGAUAAAAGCUACCCUGGGGAUAACAGGCUUAUCUCCCCCAAGAGUCCACAUCGACGGGGAGGUUUGGCACCUCGAUGUCGGCUCAUCACAUCCUGGGGCUGUAGUAGGUCCCAAGGGUUGGGCUGUUCGCCCAUUAAAGUGGUACGCGAGCUGGGUUCAGAACGUCGUGAGACAGUUCGGUCCCUAUCCGUCGCAGGCGUAGGAAAUUUGAGAAGACCUGUCCUUAGUACGAGAGGACCGGGAUGGACGUACCUCUGGUGUACCAGUUGUUCUGCC